UAGGGAAUCUUCCGCAAUGGACGAAAGUCUGACGGAGCAACGCCGCGUGAGUGAAGAAGGAUUUCGGUUCGUAAAACUCUGUUGUUAGGGAAGAAAAAAUGUAUAGUAACUAUAUACAAAAGAGACGGUACCUAACCAGAAAGCCACGGCUAACUACGUGCCAGCAGCCGCGGUAAUACGUAGGUGGCAAGCGUUGUCCGGAAUUAUUGGGCGUAAAGCGCGCGCAGGUGGUUUAGAAAGUCUGAUGUGAAAGCCCACGGCUCAACCGUGGAGGGUCAUUGGAAACUAAUAAACUUGAGUGCAGGAGAGAAAAGUGGAAUUCCUAGUGUAGCGGUGAAAUGCGUAGAGAUUAGGAGGAAUACCGGUGGCGAAGGCGACUUUCUGGACUUUUACUGACGCUCAGGUACGAAAGCGUGGGGAGCAAACAGG
rnacentral:rRNA from 1 species